AGUCUCCUAGUUCAUAGG
rnacentral:misc_RNA from 1 species